GUCAGUAAUUUCUCCCCUAGCAAGAAUGAGGAAGAUGAAGAGCUCGGGUAUCUGAGGGCUGGUGUGUCUGCAUGCGUGUGUGUUUUGGGGGCCGACUGAAGGAAGAGAAGGCUGGAGAGAGGGAACAUGGGUCUGAGGGCACAUCGCUAAGGGGUCAAGAGGCCUAAAGGAGGAGUCUAAGGCUCUCCAUCGAACUUGGACUUGGUCUACAUUAGACUUUAACCUCCAUGAGGCUUGGACUUUCAGGCUUCCUCCCUCACACCGCGGGCAGGUGAGGCGUCUGCUACAGGCCUGGUCUCGCAGAGGGGGCCCAGCGCCCCCCGCCGCCGCCUUCUCCUGGAGUCUGUGUGACAGAAUGGGACCUGUGGGAAAGCAGCACGUCAGCACCCAGCCCCGCUUGCGCGCCAGCAGCUAAUUAAAGCCAGGAAGGUGAUGGCGAUUUUCAACUCAUUCCCGUUACAAACAGCCGACCUUCCUACCGAGUUCAAGUACCUUCUGCCUGGCCUGGAAGAACAAUAUCUCUCUGUCUCCCUCUUCCACUGGCCCUCACCUGCCUUCCCCUGAACAUGCAUUUUGCCUGACAGGAGACAGAGGCAGUUGAUGCUUGCAGCUUGGUCCAGGAGGCCAGCAGGACCAGAGAGAAGACCACAGCGACACAUGGGGAUGGCUGUCCCACAGGCAGAAAUGAGCAGCCGGGAGGAAGCCCAGGCAGCCAGCCACCCAGCUCCCUCCACAUCGUGGCCCUAGAACGGAGUCUUGAAGAAUAAGAAGCCACAGCUUGUCAGGGAAUCAGGCUGGAAAAAUGUUAUGAGACUGAGUAAGACCAGAGUUUCUGGGUCAUUGGUGAGACUGGAUUUCAUAGAAGAGUCUUUGCUACAGCAAAACCUCUCUUCAAGCAAUACACUAUUCAAGCUGCUGGAGGCUAGAUUGACCAGAAAAAUGGGGCCAAUAUCAUGAUUCCUCAGCAGUGCCUGGAGAAGACCAGGAGAGGAAGCAGAAGACCCUCCUCAAAGAAGCAGCCUUCACCUCCAGACCUCCCAGCGGGACUUAGACAAUGGGGUUAGGCAGUCACAUGUCUGCACGUGGAAACUUUCUGGGACUGUGCUUGGAUCCUGGCUCUGCCUUUUACUAGCCAUGUGACCUUGGGAAAAUCACUUGACUUCUCCGUGCAGGAUUCCUCAUCUGUAAAAAUGGUCUAAGAUUAGGAGCCACCUCAAGGUUGUUGUAGGAAUUAAAUUAAUUCAUGUUUAUAAAGUGCUUUGAACAGCGUUUGGCACAUGGAGAAUUAAAUGAGCAAACGGAAGAGCAGCAACCCUGAGUUACAUUUCUCAAGACACCGGGGCUCUUGAUGGCACAGCAGCAGCUUGCUAGAGCUUGGUAAAGAGACUUGGGCCUGGUACCUGAAGGGCAAUUCCUUGGCCAUGACAUUGUAGGGAAAGACCUCUAUGGGUGUUGAAAAGACAAGGCGAGGACAAGAAGAGUUGAAAAGGAGCUGUUCUGAAGCCACCUGGCUGUGGAUGGAGGAAGCCACAUGUAGCUUAGGUAGCCUGCUAUUGUAAUUUUUUCUGCAACUGAAGAAUUCGAAAUGGGUUUGGUGGGUAGCGAAGGGCAGAAUCUGGCUUCAAGGUGACAGAGUUUGCAUAGAGAUGGCCUUCUUGAGCAAAGGUAGUGACUCCUACAUUUUUUUUUUUUGUAGAGUUGUGAUACCCAUGAGUUAGUCAGCUUGGGCUAUCAUAACAAAAUACCACACAUUGGUUGGCUUAAACAACAGAAAUUCAUUUUCCUGUAAUUCUGGAGGCUGGAAGUCCAAGAUCAAGGUGACGACAGAGUUGGGUUUCCUCUGAAGCCUCUCUCCUUGGUUUUCAGAUGGGUGUCCUCUUGCUGUCUCUUCAUGUGACUGUCCCUCUGCAUGUGUGCCCCUGGGGACUCUUUCUUAUCUUAUAGUGACACUAGUUCUAUUGGAUUGAAGUGUACCCAUACGACCUCAUUUAAACUUAAUUACAUAUUGUAAGGCCCUAACUUCAAAUACAGUCACAUCCUGAGGUACUGUGUAUUAGGGCUUCAACAUAUAAAUUUUGGGGCAAUCCAGUUCAGCCCAUAAAAUCCCUUUUUGGUUGCUUGAUUCUGUUUAUUUGGUGUCAUGCCUUCCUUUUCCUAAAGAACUUCAUGAAUAGAAUUACUUUCUAAGUGAAAGGAACAAAACUGAUUUUUAUUAAAAAUUAUUUUGAGAUGCUUGUGACAAAUUUUGAAGUAAGUGAAGAUUUUCCUGGAGCUUCUACAAAAUCCUGGCUGAGAAUCCCUGCUUUCUGGACAGUUGAGAAGGAAAUACACUUAGUACAGCUGUUAGAGAGAUAUAGUUGCAACCACUGAGUGCUUAUUAUCUGCCAACUUAAAUAUAUUGCCCAAGGGAAUAACAAAUAUUCUAGUGUUCUUGUUAAGUAUAUUGUCUAAGGUCACACAGCUCUUAAACAACAGCUUCAGGAUUUGAACCUGGAAUCUAUCUGACUCCUAAGUCCAGAUGCUGUUCACCACAUUAGGUUGAAGCAUGGCCAGUGUUCAUAACAUACAACUAUGUCUCCAUAUCUUUUGCUAACCAAUGUUCUUGUAUGUGCAUACCUUACAGGGCAGCCAUUCACCACAAGCCCUACUAGAUGGCUUCCUGUAAUAAGGGUAGAACAGUAGUACUCUCCUUUUGAGAAGUUAUUUGUAAUUUUGUUGGUGGGCUGACAUUUAGGCCCUGCUCUCCAGCCCCAGAGGGGAUCCCAUAACCUAGAUCAGGCCAAUGAUGAUUAUCUCCGUGACUGUAGUGGCUGGUCCAGCGGGGAGGGUCAGGCAGGUAAGCUGGCCCAACCUGAGUCCUUCUUGAGGAUUUUAGAAACUGAAGGUAGGAGAGAAAAAUUCUCUCUUUUCUUCUGGGGAACGGGAUGAAGGUGGUGGGUAGGCAGAGCUGUUGGGAUGUGGAUCCAGGGAUUCUGGAAGUCCUGUCCUCCACCAUGUAAAGAAUACAUCCUGCAGAAGGAGAGAAGGGAGCCAGCACACAGAGAAGCAGAGUCAGGAGAUGGAGAAGGAGAAUCCUGAGAGCCUGAAGGUCCCUGGGUCCAGCCAUUGUCAAGGCCGAGUUCUACCGUCCUUAAGUUGUUUACCUUUCUUUCUUGCUUGCUUCUGUUAGAAGAUGAACACUCAAUGAAAAAUCACCAAACAUCUGAGGAAAGCCAUCAAAAUGAAAUAAACGAAACACACAAGUUCCUAAACACAAGUGAACAGCGUGGGCUGGGUUUUUGUCGCUUGGAACUGGAAACGCUGACGAUAAUGCUGACCUCUGAGCAGACCCACGUGAGGGGCAGCUGUGGUGUGGUGUGAUGAUGCUGGGAUAGGCACUCAGAUGGUUGAGUCUGAGUUUGGCUCUGAUAUUAUAUCAACUGCAUGGGCAGCUGUGGUGUGGUGUGAUGAUGCUGGGAUAGGCACUCAGAUGGUUGAGUCUGAGUUUGGCUCUGAUAUUAUAUCAACUGCAUGGGCAGCUGUGGUGUGGUGUGAUGAUGCUGGGAUAGGCACUCAGAUGGUUGAGUCUGAGUUUGGCUCUGAUAUUAUAUCAACUGCAUGGGCAGCUGUGGUGUGGUGUGAUGAUGCUGGGAUAGGCACUCAGAUGGUUGAGUCUGAGUUUGGCUCUGAUAUUAUAUCAACCGCAUCAUUUUGGGGAAGACACAAUUUCUCAGAAUUUUAUUUAGUUGUAAAAUAAAGAUAAUGAUAUUACA